CCUACGGGUGGCUGCAGUCGAGAAUCUUCGGCAAUGGGCGCAAGCCUGACCGAGCGACGCCGCGUGCGGGAUGAAGGCCCUCGGGUUGUAAACCGCUGUCGAGGGGGACGAAAUUUCAGUGGGUACUCCCAUUGAAUUGACCGAUCCCUGGAGGAAGGGUGGGCUAAGUUCGUGCCAGCAGCCGCGGUAAGACGAACCACCCAAACGUUUGUCGGAAUUACUGGGCUUAAAGGGUUUGAAGGUGGGCUGGGAAAUCCCACAGCUCAACUGUGGAACUGCGCUUAAAACUACAAGGCUAGAGGAAGAUAGAGGUGAGCAGAACAGAUGGUGGAGCGGUGAAAUGCGUUGAUAUCAUCUGGAAUACCGGAGGCGAAGGCGGCUCACUGGGUAUUUUCUGACGCUGAGGUACGAAAGCUAGGGGAGCGAACGGGAUUAGAUACCCGGGUAGUC
rnacentral:rRNA from 1 species